AGUAAUAUAGUUAAAUUAAUAUUAAUUUGUCAAAUUAAAGAUGAUUUAAUUCCUC
rnacentral:tRNA from 1 species